ACGAACGCUGGCGGCGUGCCUAAUACAUGCAAGUCGAACGAAACUUUCUUACACCGAAUGCUUGCAUUCACCGUAAGAAGUUGAGUGGCGGACGGGUGAGUAACACGUGGGUAACCUGCCUAAAAGAAGGGGAUAACACUUGGAAACAGGUGCUAAUACCGUAUAUCUCUAAGGAUCGCAUGAUCCUUAGAUGAAAGAUGGUUCUGCUAUCGCUUUUAGAUGGACCCGCGGCGUAUUAACUAGUUGGUGGGGUAACGGCCUACCAAGGUGAUGAUACGUAGCCGAACUGAGAGGUUGAUCGGCCACAUUGGGACUGAGACACGGCCCAAACUCCUACGGGAGGCAGCAGUAGGGAAUCUUCCACAAUGGACGCAAGUCUGAUGGAGCAACGCCGCGUGAGUGAAGAAGGUCUUCGGAUCGUAAAACUCUGUUGUUAGAGAAGAACACGAGUGAGAGUAACUGUUCAUUCGAUGACGGUAUCUAACCAGCAAGUCACGGCUAACUACGUGCCAGCAGCCGCGGUAAUACGUAGGUGGCAAGCGUUGUCCGGAUUUAUUGGGCGUAAAGGGAACGCAGGCGGUCUUUUAAGUCUGAUGUGAAAGCCUUCGGCUUAACCGGAGUAGUGCAUUGGAAACUGGAAGACUUGAGUGCAGAAGAGGAGAGUGGAACUCCAUGUGUAGCGGUGAAAUGCGUAGAUAUAUGGAAGAACACCAGUGGCGAAAGCGGCUCUCUGGUCUGUAACUGACGCUGAGGUUCGAAAGCGUGGGUAGCAAACAGGAUUAGAUACCCUGGUAGUCCACGCCGUAAACGAUGAAUGCUAGGUGUUGGAGGGUUUCCGCCCUUCAGUGCCGCAGCUAACGCAAUAAGCAUUCCGCCUGGGGAGUACGACCGCAAGGUUGAAACUCAAAGGAAUUGACGGGGGCCCGCACAAGCGGUGGAGCAUGUGGUUUAAUUCGAAGCAACGCGAAGAACCUUACCAGGUCUUGACAUCCUUUGACCACCUAAGAGAUUAGGCUUUCCCUUCGGGGACAAAGUGACAGGUGGUGCAUGGCUGUCGUCAGCUCGUGUCGUGAGAUGUUGGGUUAAGUCCCGCAACGAGCGCAACCCUUGUUGUCAGUUGCCAGCAUUAAGUUGGGCACUCUGGCGAGACUGCCGGUGACAAACCGGAGGAAGGUUGGGACGACGUCAAGUCAUCAUGCCCCUUAUGACCUGGGCUACACACGUGCUACAAUGGACGGUACAACGAGUCGCGAGACCGCGAGGUUUAGCUAAUCUCUUAAAGCCGUUCUCAGUUCGGAUUGUAGGCUGCAACUCGCCUACAUGAAGUCGGAAUCGCUAGUAAUCGCGAAUCAGCAUGUCGCGGUGAAUACGUUCCCGGGCCUUGUACACACCGCCCGUCACACCAUGAGAGUUUGUAACACCCAAAGCCGGUGGGGUAACCGCAAGGAGCCAGCCGUCUAAGGUGGGACAGAUGAUUGGGGUG
rnacentral:rRNA from 1 species